UACGAAGGGGGCUAGCGUUGUUCGGAAUUACUGGGCGUAAAGCGCGCGCACGCGGUUCUUUAAGUCAGGGGUGAAAGCCCAGAGCUCAACUCUGGAAUUGCCUUUGAAACUAGAGGACUUGAGUACGGGAGAGGUGAGUGGAAUUCCGAGUGUAGAGGUGAAAUUCGUAGAUAUUCGGAAGAACACCAGUGGCGAAGGCGGCUCACUGGCCCGUUACUGACGCUCAGGCGCGACAGCGUGGGGAGCAAACAGG
rnacentral:rRNA from 1 species